rnacentral:rRNA from 1 species
UGGAGAGUUUGAUCCUGGCUCAGGACGAACGCUGGCGGCGUGCUUAACACAUGCAAGUCGAACGGAAAGGCCCCUUCGGGGGUACUCGAGUGGCGAACGGGUGAGUAACACGUGGGUGAUCUGCCCUGCACUUUGGGAUAAGCCUGGGAAACUGGGUCUAAUACCGAAUAGGACCACGCGCUUCAUGGUGUGUGGUGGAAAGCUUUUGCGGUGUGGGAUGGGCCCGCGGCCUAUCAGCUUGUUGGUGGGGUAAUGGCCUACCAAGGCGACGACGGGUAGCCGGCCUGAGAGGGUGUCCGGCCACACUGGGACUGAGAUACGGCCCAGACUCCUACGGGAGGCAGCAGUGGGGAAUAUUGCACAAUGGGCGCAAGCCUGAUGCAGCGACGCCGCGUGGGGGAUGACGGCCUUCGGGUUGUAAACCUCUUUCAGUAUCGGCGAAGCUCCAGGAUUCUUCUUGGGGUGACGGUAGGUACAGAAGAAGCACCGGCCAACUACGUGCCAGCAGCCGCGGUA